rnacentral:misc_RNA from 1 species
UCUUCCUAAAUGAUCUGAUAGGUGGCCAACCCACAACCUGUGCCUUGGUAGCAGGGGCACUACUGUUGUUGUUUGCAGAAGUAUUGUGAUUCGUUCUGGUAUCAUUUGUUCCAUAAGGCCUCUCCUGUGGUGCCUUUGAGGCAACUAUGUCUUUCACUUUAGCUGCCUGAGGCCCAAAUUUCUCAAGCGCAGAACCAGGUUUCAAUCCCAUGUUUGGAGCGGGCUUAGGUGACAGCAUGACAUUAACCUCUGAAUUUGAAAGAAAUUUACCCUCUAAGAACCCAUCCAUAGCAUCAGAGAACCCUCUUUUGUUACGCAAAACAACAUUUUUCUGCGCUGAAGAGCAGUGACCAUCAUUAGAGGGGUGCAAGGGGAAGAAGGGCUUCUCAUCAAGUUGUGUAGAGCUCAACAGGCAAAGCUCAGAAUUCCUUUCAGGUGAUUGAGACCCUGGAAGCCCAAGUCGCAAUUCUGUAGCCUUCAGAUUCACACGAGUCUUGCUCUCAUCAGAUGCAGCAGGAACUACUGAACUGUCUACAGAUGAACAAUCUGACAAUCCCAUAUAGUUUCGCUCUUU